UCCGGAUUGGUGUAGGGGUUAACAUUGCCGCCUCUCAUGUUUACGUAAGCAGCUCGCUUUACGUAAUUCUCUCGCGGCAGCCCGGGGUUCGAUUCCCCGAUCCGGAA